GAUGAAGAACGUAGCGAAAUGCGAUAAGUAAUGUGAAUUGCAGAAUUCAGUGAAUCAUCGAAUCUUUGAACGCACCUUGCACCCUUUGGCAUUCCGAAGGGUAUGCUCGUUUGAGUGUCAUUGUACUCUCACACUUCCAAUUCUUUGGAUUGGGAGCGGUGGACUUGGGUGCUGCUGCUUACCGUGGCUCACCUCAAAUGUGUUAGUGCAACCGUUGGUUAGACAUAGUACAGCGUGAUAAGUAUCUUCGCUGGCGCCUCACUCGAGGGUGGCUGAUCAGGGCUCUGUGCUUCCAAUCGUCUUCGGACAAUCACUGACAACUUGGCCUCAAAUCGAGUAGGACUACCCGCUGAACUUAAGCAUAUCAAUAAGCGGAGGA
rnacentral:misc_RNA from 1 species